GCCAACAAAUUUCUAUGUGGCAGGAAUUUAUAACAUAAAAAUAGUAAGUACCUUCCCUGUCUCCCUUGUCCUCUAUUUCACAAGCUGGAAUGUGUUUAAUUAGAAACUGUAUAAUCAGUUUAUGUUUUAGCAGUUUGUUAAGGCUAUAGAGCAUGAUAAGAAGGGAUCAAACUGCCACCAUAUUUUUCCUCUGUAGAUUUCAUGAAAAUGGUUUUAACUACCAAAUCAAAGGAAUGAGAGUAAGUUUGUCUCAACUUUUUUCAAAUGUUCAUGAUCAGGCACUAAAACUCACAGGCAUAUUCAAAACAAUACUCCUACUAUUAAGAAUUUGUGGAUGUUCAUUGUCAUCUAUUGGAUGGAACACAGGGCCCCCAAUGGAGGAGCUAGAGAAAGUACCCAAGGAGCUGAAAGGGUCUGCAACCCUAUAGGUGGAACAAUAAUAUGACUAUCCAGUACCCCCCAAAGCUUGUGCCUCUAGCUGGAUAUGUACCAGAAGAUGGCCUAGUCGGCCAUCAUUGGGAAGAGAGGCCUCUUGGUCUUGCAAACUUUAUAUGCCUCAGUACUGGGGAACGCCAGGGCCAAGAAGUGGGAGUGGGUGAGUAGGGGAGCAGAGCAGAGGGAGGGUAUAGAGAACUUUUGGGAUAGCAUUUGAAAUGUAACUGAAGAAAAUAUCUAAUAAAAAAUUGAAAAAAAGAAUUUUAAUAACAAACACAAAAAUGAAAAAAGAAUUUUAAUAUUUAGUGAUGGAAAAAGGUUUGUGUAUGCUAAAAUCUACCUUCGCAUGUACGCCUUCUCAGUUCUAACUUUUAAAGAUUUUAUAAACAUAGAAGUAAUAUUUUGUAAUAUUUUGGUAAAUUCUAUAAUAUUUUGUAAUAUUUUUGUAAAAUUUUGUAAUAUUUUCAUAAAAUGAUUUUCUUCCAGCUGACUUUUCCAGCUUUAACAUUAAUAAAUCAUUUUGAUACAUUUUAUAGUACCUCCUUUUUAAUAAUUGUAGCAAAUAUCUCAUGUUUCAUGAUAAUAAGCUCUUACUUAAGUUGUCAUGGUCCUUCCACAGAAGUCAUUUGUGAUCUAGUUUUUUUUUUCUUUUUUAAGAAUUAAUUAUUCAUUUUAUAUAUAUUAGUACACUGUAGCUGUCUUUAGGCACAUAUGAGGAAAGCAUCAGAUUCCAUUACAGAUGGUUGUGAGCCACUACGUGAAUGCUGGGACUUGAAAUCAGGACCUCAGGUAGAGCAGUCAGUACUCUU
rnacentral:lncRNA from 1 species